rnacentral:rRNA from 1 species
UAGCCUUGACAUAUAUUAGAAUCCGACAGAGAUGUUGGAGUGCCUUCGGGAGCUUUUAUACAGGUGCUGCACGGCUGUCGUCAGCUCGUGUCGUGAGAUGUUGGGUUAAGUCCCGCAACGAGCGCAACCCUCGUCACUAGUUACUAACGGUUCGGCCGAGGACUCUAGUGAGACUGCCUUCGUAAGGAGGAGGAAGGUGAGGACGACGUCAAGUCAUCAUGGCCCUUACGGCUAGGGCUACACACGUGCUACAAUGGGGGGUACAAAGAGCAGCCAACUGGCGACAGUGCGCGAAUCUCAUAAAACCUCUCGUAGUCCGGAUCGGAGUCUGCAACUCGACUCCGUGAAGUCGGAAUCGCUAGUAAUCGUGAAUCAGAAUGUCACGGUGAAUACGUUCCCGGGCCU